UAGAAGUAUGGAGAAAGCUACCGUGUUACACAGAGUUCCUUGACAGAAAUGCUGUGUCGGACAUUAACCAGACCAAGGAUCCACUCAUAUGGCAGCUGGCAAGAAACAAGAUCCCCUACCCUGGAGGGAGUUUCAAGAUAGAUGCAGGAUCACUAGGGCAGUGUUUACCUACUACAGGAAAGAGAGAUGACAGUGAGAGCCCCAUUAUACAGUGGGACUUUGAGUUCAAUGGCUGGGAGCUGUUGUUGUGUGAGAUAGAGACACUGCUACAACAGAUCUCACUGGG